rnacentral:rRNA from 1 species
UUAGCGGAGAGUUUGAUCCUGGCUCAGGAUGAACGUUGGCGGUGUGCCUAAUACAUGCAAGUCGAACGGAGUUAAUAGCAAUAUUGGCUCAGUGGCGAACGGGUGAGUAACGCGUUGGUGAUCUGCCUUGAAGUGUGGAAUAACGUUUCGAAAGGAACGCUAAUACCGCAUGUGCUCUCGAUUUUCAGAAAGUUGAGAGUAAAGGAUUUAUUCGCUUCAAGAGGAGCCUGCGUCCCAUCAGCUGGUUGGUAGGGUAACGGCCUACCAAGGCUAUGACGGGUAGGGGACCUGAGAGGGUGGCCCCCCACAAUGGAACUGAAACACGGUCCAUACACCUACGGGUGGCAGCAGUAGGGAAUAUUAGAAAUGGACGAAAGUCUGAUCUAGCAACACCGCGUGUGCGAAGAAGGCCUUCGGGUCGUAAAGCACUUUUUGGAAGGAAUAGGAAGGAAUGUACUUCCAGAAUAAGUCUCGGCUAACUACGUGCCAGCAGCCGCGGUAACACGUAGGAGGCAAACGUUAUCCGGAUUUACUGGGCGUAAAGCGCGUGUAGGUGGUACUGUAAGUAGGGCGUGAAAGCUCCUGGCUCAACUGGGAGAGGCCGUUCUAAACUACAGAACUAGAGGAUGGUAGAGGGAGGUGGAAUUCCAGGUGUAGCGGUGGAAUGCGCAGAUAUCUGGAGGAACACCGGUGGCGAAGGCGGCCUCCUGGACCAUUCCUGACACUCAGACGCGAAAGCUAGGGUAGCAAACGGGAUUAGAGACCCCGGUAGUCCUAGCCCUAAACGAUGUAGACUAGGCGUCGGAAGUUUAAUCACUUUCGGUGUCCAAGCUAACGCGAUAAGUCUACCGCCUGGGGACUACGGCCGCAAGGUUAAAACUCAAAGGAAUUGACGGGUCCCCGCACAAGCAGCGGAGCGUGUGGUUUAAUUCGUUGCUACACGAAG